rnacentral:misc_RNA from 1 species
GAAAAACCUUUCUAUCCAUAAUUUGAAAUAUUUUAAACGUGAAACCAAAUCUCAUCAAAUAGAAAUGUUAAAUUUAUCAUAAUUUUACGAGUCUCAAGAAAUUCAAUAAUUAAAAUUAGCCUAUCAUGCUUAGAGCAGCCCAUGAAUAUGUACCAAAGAAAUAGGAAUUAAGAACCAAGCGGAGUAACAUGCUUAAAUAACAAUUUCAAACAUCUGUUAGGUUUUCUAAAGAAAUUAACACAACCCAGUAGCGUAAGAGCAUGGAGAAGCCAUAAUCAGAAGACAACAAAAGUGAAUUCAAGUGUUUUCACUUUCAAGGGCUUAAUACAACAAGGAUACAUACAAU